AGCUAAUUUUUGUAUUUUUAGUAGAGACAGGGUCACACAGUUAAAUGUUGGUGUUAGGAUUCAAGUCCAUGAUGACCCCAGAUCUCAAGUUCUAAACAGUCACAUAAAUUUCAGAACAAGUAUGCUCUCUAACUAUUAAAUGGUUAGAUUUUAAAUGUCAUAUUUAAAUUAACUACUUAUUAGGCUGGCUCACGGUCAAAGUCAGUUAUGUCCCAAUUCAAUUAAGAAGAAAAGCUACAAACGUGUGGAUUUGUAACUUUAGAAUUACAAUGAGCUACUGAUGCUGGCAUAUUUUCACCAUAUCCAGCCAUUAAAGACGUUUCCGGUGCAACCGCUUUCCUUUUAUCAAUGUUUAUUCCCAGAAAUGCAAACCCGUCAAGUUAGAUGGUACAUAUCCAACUGUCCAACAGAGACGAUCAUCCACCUAAUCCUAAAUAGCAGCGCCCUGUGUUCUGAACGUAACUAGAUAGAUAAUACAGACCUACUUGGCAAAUUUUCAACAUUCUCUUUUGGAGCACGAAAGUACCUGGACCUCUCAAAGUGACUAAAACGUUUUGAAGGAAGCUAAACUAAAUGGAACCUUUGUUGAAGAACCAAAAAUUAAGCUUACUCAACUGGAUCCUUUAAAAAUGGAUUUUGUACUCCUUGAAAAUGCUUACUUGCGAAGAACAGAAAGAAAAAAAGCCUGGAUACUUUGAAUCCUAGGAAUCUUAACAGUAAAAUCUCCUACAAAUAUAAAUUGAAGUCAAUAAAGUAUCUUUCAUUUAC